rfam:Triticum aestivum genome assembly, contig: Triticum_aestivum_CS42_TGACv1_scaffold_320582_4BL
AUCAUACUCCCUCCGUCCCAAAAUAAGUGACUCAACUUUGCACUAACUUUGUAUUAAGGUUAGUAUAAAUUUGAGUCACUUAUUUUGGGACGGAGGGAGUAUUAU